CCCUCCCCAAGAUGCUUGGACUGAGUCUUGCCUGUGCCUCUGGAAAUAUUUUCCAUUUAAAGGGAAAUAUUUUCUACUGACCAGGUUCAAAACUGGCCUGCGGGAGCAUGGGAGUCUUUUCCUGCAUGGGGCCUGCAGAAGGAAAUGCAGCCCGCAGCUCAGCACGGCCUCCAGACGGCCCUAGUCUCUGCGUUUCCUCAGAAACUCCUUGCGGGAAGAACACACAUGUUCCAGGCCAGAUGCUCUUCCCCACGUCUAUGGACAGAGCACUGAUCCCAGUGAGGAACGUCCACACACCACACAGCAAAACCCUUCUCACCGUGAGAAAUUGACAGUUGCCUGAGAAAGACACUGUCGUGUAGGAAACAAAGCCUUCAUCUCAGAUUUUAGAGAAAUCCCCGCAAAGAAAUGACAAAAGCAGAGUGGCUUCAGCGUUCUCCGUAGACACAGAUGUUCACCUCCACUGUGGGCAUCUUCAGGCAGGAGCUUUGCCUCACCCCUUCUCUCGUGUGCCUUCCAGGACUCAGCCCCCUCGUGCCUCCCGGAAUGCAGGGGUGCCAUUGGAAAGAUGGAAAGUCUAAGGAGGGUACAAGUCACAGCUGCUCUGGUCCUCAGAGCUUCCCUGCACUGGGCGUGUUGAAUGCACACUCUCUACCCCAUAACAUACCAUCAGAUGCGGGAAUAUGAAUGAGAUCAUCCCAGACUCCAUGGGGAUCACAGAGCUUGGGAAAGGAAUGUCAACACUGGAAGGCAGGUCUGAGUCCAAGUCUGUGUCCUCAGCCUAAAAUCUUCAGAUUUAGUAAAUAAAAACAUGGGUUGCCUGGUUAAAUUUUUACAUAAGCAAAGAAUAGUUUUUAGCAUAAAAUGCUGCAUGCAAUAUUCAGUGUCCUGUAUUUCGUCUGGCAGCCUCACCUCUCCGGCACAGCUAUGGGAAGAUGCUUUUGUCCGCCCAGCCAGGGCCAGGAUGACACCAGGGACGCUCAAACGUCUACAGCCAAUUUGGUGACCCCCUUUAAUUUUUGGAAAUGCCACUGCUGGCCCCUCACAGUGGAAAUUCUUCAUGUGCAACCAGCUCAUAAAUAUAGUGUGUUGGAGGCACCUGGAUGGUUAGGACUCAGGACAAUAUUCUCCCCAAAUAUUUUCUCAACAUCCAUCUUCCUGGUGGCAAUUAGUGUCUGAGAUUCUCUUUAACUUUUCCUUGCCGGGGUGACUGCAGUCAGCCGUCAAGGCAAGAAAAGGGAAGUCUGAAAAAGUGUAAAACUGAUCAUCAAAACACAAAACUUUACGUGUUUUUCUCUGAAAGCGCAUGAAACUGGCUGCUUAGCUUCCAAAUGGAAACCCCACACUGCAUGUUCUCCGAGGCUUUUCUGCUUUCUUUUGACAUUUUGACACUGAGCUCUGAAAUAAUAGUGUUAACUGUUGAUCUUUUUUUCCUUUGGAAAUUGGCUUUUGACACUAGACAGCUGGAAAAUCUGAAAGGUUAGCGCACAUCUGGUGCGUCUACCUCAAUAUAAAUGCCAAUGUUCCAUCAAAGCUUUUCACAGAUCAAUGAAAUAAUGAUCACAGGUGCCAAGACACAGGGAUUCACUAAGAUGGACAGCCACACAGAAUUAUGACAAGGGCUUGGACCAGGCUUGGGCGUGUGGCUGCUGCACGUGAGAAAUGUCCCUUCUCCCACACACGCCAGUAGCCACACCACUCUCUGAAUAGGAACACCUGCUCUAUGUACCCAGCCCAAUGUAUUACAAUAUUUAUUAGGCCCUCAUGCUGUGGCUAGGUAAAGUGAAGUGACAUACAUUUUAUGAAAUUUGUGUCCCCAUGUCUGUACCUUCAUUCUGACGUCACUGCUCUUGCCAAGAACAGAUCAAAACCGUUGCAUGUUUGGGUUUGUUACUCCCUUGUUCUUCCCACUGUGCUGGCAAGAGGGCGCGGGCGAUAAAUGAGGUCAGGAACACCUGCUCCAUUGCAACUGCUUCUGGACAGACCAGACCUCAGGCCACAUGCUCACCAGUGCUGGGGUUGAGCCCUAUUCUGUGACCCCACCACAAUGAAUAUUGAGGCAGAAAUCGUGAAUAUGACAAGGUCCUGCCCUCAUACUCCUUAAGAAAAAGGAAAAUAUUUUAAAUGAAAUCAUCUUCAUUGUUACAUUUACAAAUGAGGGAUAAAAACCAAACACAUAGAAAAGUAUUUUAAAAAUUCCUGUGUACCCCCAGCGACAUGUACUGUGACACCGUGAGCAUUUUGGCGUCUAUCCAUCCAGAUACGUUCCUACCUGCAUGCAAUGGCAGGAAAGAUCCAGAUACAGAUUUCCAUGCCCAAACACCCUACACCCAGUUGAUGUCCCAGACCUGCUAUCCCAUAACCGACUCUUCCCUUAACAGCAUACCUUACAUGUCCUCUUAGUCAACGGACACACAUCAGCUUCGUCUUCAGUGUCUGUCCAGUAUUCGUGCCAUGCCACUCCAUAAUUUCUUCACAAAAAUCUCCCAUUUCAGGCAAUUUAUGUUUAUUGUUAAGCCAGUCACAUUUAGCAGUGUGGGGUCGUGUACCAACUUUAGUGACACCAAUGUUAAUCAGUUCUGAUAACCACUACAUUGGACAAGCCAGGAUUUUUUUUUUUAAUUCCUACUUGUUUCAAACAACAGUACGUGUUUACAAGAAGGCUUUUGUAAUUCUAUAUUUGCAAAAAGUGUGUAUGUGUCUGGUUCUUUUCUGCGGAUACAUUUCUGGAAGUGCAAUCUCUGGGUUGGCAUUUUGUACACUUUAAACCUUUCUCGUAUGUGCCCCCAAAUCGUCCUCCAGAAAGUUGGCACUGGAGCACACCACCCACAGCGGGGUAUGAGGCCUGAGACGAAAGUGAAUCCUGUGUCUUCUUCAGAGACACAGAAGCUGCUGAUUUCUUCCUGUUCUGGAGACUGACACUUAAAUGUGUCUCAGAAGUGGUUUGGGGCAAAGUAGGGGCAAAAAUUUUCAUGUGGAGGCAACAAAUUUAAAUAACCAAACACAAUGAACCAAAAUUAUCGAUUCUCUGAGUCAUUUUAUAACUGAAUAGUCAAUUCUCUGAGUCGUUUUAUAACACCUGGGACAGCGUCGUGGAGACUGAACACGUGAGUUCUCUGAGUUGCUUUAUACCACCUGGGAGAGUGUGGUGGAGAUUGAACACAUCAAUUCUCUGAGUCGUUUUAUAAUGCCUGAAAGAGCAUCAUCGAGACUGAACACGCGGUGAAUUGCAGCCACUACUCAACAUCAUGCUUUUCACGUCUAGUCUGGAUGGAACAUUCUAGAAGGGCUCUAGGAGACACGUGGAUCCUGGAGUAAGUUGGGUAAAGAAACAUGUUAAAGGAAGGUAGCUCUUAUUUUACCAGAGCCUGUCCUUUGGUUUUUGUUAAAUCCAGAGUAUCUUAAAAUUUAAGAAUUACAUUUUCAGGUAGAAGCUUCAAUACUGUUUAUUUGAAUAAAAUAUAAAUAAUUUAUAUUAACAAGGCUGCUUAAAGUUUAUUGAAUUCUCAAUUUUUUAUGACCUUAUCAUCUCCUUAUGAAAUAACUGUUACUGAACAAGAAUUAAGUCUUAU
rnacentral:lncRNA from 1 species